rnacentral:rRNA from 1 species
CCCUUAAAUGUUCUGGGCCGCACGCGUGCUACACUGAGUGGAUCAGCGGGUCAGGUUGCGCGAAAGUGUUUCCUAAUCUUUAAAUCCGCUCGUGAUGGGGAUUGACGGUUGCAAUUUUCCGUCAUGAACGAGGAAUACCUUGUAAGCGCGGGUCAUCAUCCCGCGCUGAAUACGUCCCUGCCCUUUGUACACACCGCCCGUCGCUCCUACCGAUUGAGUGGUCCGGUGAGGCUUUGGGAUCUGAGCGGAAAGAGCGUUUCGCUGUUUCUGCCCGGAAAACUCAGUCGAACCUUAUCAUUUAGAGGAAGGAGAAGUCGGAACA